rnacentral:rRNA from 1 species
CGCGUAGGCGGCCUGAUAAGUCGGGGGUGAAAUUCAGCGGCUCAACCGCUGGACUGCCUUCGAGACUGUCGGGCUCGAGCACGGUAGAGGCUGGUGGAAUUCCCGGUGUAGCGGUGGAAUGCGUAGAGAUCGGGAAGAACAUCGGUGGCGAAGGCGGCCAGCUGGGCCGUUGCUGACGCUGAGGCGCGACAGCGUGGGGAGCAAACAGGAUUAGAUACCCUGGUAGUCCACGCCGUAAACGAUGGGCACUAGGCGCCGGGGGGAGCGACCCCUUCGGUGCCGUCGUUAACACAGUAAGUGCCCCGCCUGGGGAGUACGGCCGCAAGGCUGAA